GCAGAGUCCCAUCCUCGUCGCGGCUCCGCGGCGGGGCCCAUCUCCGGCGACGAAUUCCGAUGGCCCGGAGAGCGAUUCCGCCUAGGCGCUGCUACGAUGAACAUCCACAUGCAAUGGCGAAUAUCCUCGACCACAUCGUAUACCCAGAGCGAUGAUGUAGGCGUGGUGCGGAUCUUCCUCUGCCCACGAACUCCGGCGGGGAAAUUCCCAUGGUGACAGCACGACAUGAGAUCCCGAGCUCCCACGGCGCCUUGGCUUGGGAGGACGAGGAGCCGCGGUGCCCGAGAUUAAUCCUAACAGAAAAUCGUUUGCAAUCGAUCUGAGAAGAUCUCAAUCGAAUUUGUUUUCUGUACGGCGUGGAUUCUGUUGAGAUGGUGCUAGGAUUCUAGGAAGGAGGAGCUAUCGAAGUGGUCCCACGCGUCAGCGGUCUUGUGUGGUGGAACGGAGAUAUUGCGCGGGCCUAUGAUCCAGUGAGGGCGCACACGGUUGAGCGGAUGACAUAACGUCCCUACCUGUCGGCACCGGGUGAAUGAAUGGGCUGACCGAUUUCGGUACACUGACCGAGGGAGUCUUUCAUUUUUUUCUUUUUUGUUUUUCUUAUUCCUUUCUAUUUUAGUAACUAAUCUUUUACACAUAAAAUUUUAGGAAAAUUAGGACAAAUAUAAUAUGUAAUUACUGUUUUUUCAAAUUAUAUAAAUUUUGGAUGC
rnacentral:lncRNA from 7 species